GAAUCCCACAGGCCGUAAACCCAAGGUUUCCAGGGGAAGGUUCGUCCGCCCUGGGUUAGUCGGGACCUAAGCUGAGGCCGCAAGGCGUAGGUGAUGGACAACAGGUUGAUAUUCCUGUACUACCGAUAACCAUUUGAGAGAAGGGAUGACACAGUAGGAUAAGCUAAGCACACUGCUGGUUAUGUGUGCCCAAGCAUUGAGGCAGUCA
rnacentral:rRNA from 1 species